rnacentral:tRNA from 1 species
GUCAGAUUGGUGGAAUGGAAUACACAGACGGUUUAAGCCCGUCUGCCGCAUGGCAUAAGGGUUCAAGUCCCUUAUCUGACA